rnacentral:rRNA from 1 species
AUUCUGGCUUAGGACGAACGCUGGCGGCGUGCCUAAUACAUGCAAGUCGAACGGUCUUUCUAUGGAAGCUUGCUUCCACUGAGAAGAUAGUGGCGAACGGGUGAGUAACACGUGGGUAACCUGCCCAUAAGAGGGGGAUAACAUCCGGAAACGGGUGCUAAUACCGCAUAGUUUUCUUGAUCGCAUGAUCGGGAAAGGAAAGACGGCCUUUGUGCUGUCGCUUAUGGAUGGACCCGCGGCGUAUUAGUUAGUUGGUGAGGUAACGGCUCACCAAGACGAUGAUACGUAGCCGACCUGAGAGGGUGAUCGGCCACAUUGGGACUGAGACACGGCCCAAACUCCUACGGGAGGCAGCAGUAGGGAAUCUUCCGCAAUGGACGAAAGUCUGACGGAGCAACGCCGCGUGAGUGAAGAAAGGUUUUCGGAUCGUAAAACUCUGUUGUCAGAGAAGAACAAGUUGGAGAGUAACUGCUCCAGCCUUGACGGUAUCUGACCAGAAAGCCACGGCUAACUACGUGCCAGCCGCAGC